UCCCUGGUAGUAUAUCGGUUAGUACACGCGCCUGUCAUAAAAUAAUCAUUGGCUUGGCGAUGUGACGCGCGAAAGCUGGGUUCGACUCCCAGCCAGGGAG